AUCAUUGAAGGCUUAGCCAUGAAGUACUUUGCAAGUACAUAUAAUAUGAUACCUUUACCCUUGCUAUGUAAUUAGUGCAUUAUUGUUUAUCCCCAUGAAUAAUACACU
rnacentral:ncRNA from 1 species